rnacentral:rRNA from 1 species
CCUACGGGAGGCAGCAGUGAGGAAUAUUGGUCAAUGGACGAGAGUCUGAACCAGCCAAGUAGCGUGAAGGAUGACUGCCCUAUGGGUUGUAAACUUCUUUUAUAUGGGAAUAAAACGUUCCACGUGUGGGAUUUUGUAUGUACCAUAUGAAUAAGGAUCGGCUAACUCCGUGCCAGCAGCCGCGGUAAUACGGAGGAUCCGAGCGUUAUCCGGAUUUAUUGGGUUUAAAGGGAGCGUAGGUGGAUUGUUAAGUCAGUUGUGAAAGUUUGCGGCUCAACCGUAAAAUUGCAGUUGAAACUGGCAGUCUUGAGUGCAGUAGAGGUGGGCGGAAUUCGUGGUGUAGCGGUGAAAUGCUUAGAUAUCACGAAGAACUCCGAUUGCGAAGGCAGUUCACUGGACUGCAACUGACGCUGAGGCUCGAAAGUGUGGGUAUCAAACAGGAUUAGAUACCCGGGUAGUC